rnacentral:rRNA from 1 species
AUGUGGAAGGGCAGUCAGCUAUCUGUUUUGUGCAGUUCUCUUGUCAACUUCAUGCUCAAAAUGCAGAACAAAUGUUCAGAUUCAGUCCACAAAAUGUUCAACCGAAGCUACUAUAUUUUGCCUGCGAUUGUCGAGCAAUACGUGUGUGGUCCGAACUACUCAAAAAUGAGCCCUGUGAUAAAAUUUGGAACUUGUCCGAGCAUCGCAUUCUGGAUCAUGCUACUCUUUCCGCCAGGCUCCGACUUCGGCAACUACAACGCCGCCGCCGCCUUCGGCUUCCUUUGCCGCGACCCCGUCGACUCGCCGCUCCGCGACGAAGGGCCCAACUCCCAAGCUGAUCGCCAAGUGGGUUCUGUUCCAGCAGCCCGCCUGCUCAGCCUCGGCCUGCCCAACUACGGCCGCCUCGCCGACUUCUUCCGCGACGCCGGCAAGGCGGUGACCGACGAGGGCGAGCGGCUGGGCAUCGCGCGGGAGGAGGCGGUGCACAACAUCCUCUUCGCCAUGUGCUUCAACUCCUUCGGCGGCAUGAGGAUCCUGUUCCCGUCGCUGGUGAAGUGGCCGGGCCGCGCGCACCCGGCCGCCUCGCGAUGGAGGUGCGCGCCGCCGUGCGCGCCAACAGCGGCGAGGUGA